rnacentral:sRNA from 12 species
GAGAGGAGGCCCCAACUGCUGAACAGCAGCAUUUCUGUAAUGGGGAUGACGACAUGCCGCCGGAGCGCAGCUGAGGGGGCGAUACUAUUA